rnacentral:rRNA from 1 species
GUUCCUAGGAAAGGGAGGCCAUAGAGGGUGAAAGCCCCGUACAUGGCGGCGUCCAGAUGCAUGGUUUGUCUAUGAUGAGUCGGGUUGUUUGGUAUUACAGCCCUAAAUGGGAGAUAUACUUCUUCUAAAGCUAAAUAUGAAUGGGAAACCGAUAGCGAACAAGUACUGUGAAGGAAAGAUGAAAAGAACUUUGAAAAGAGAGUCAAAAGAUUUGAAAUCGUUGAGAAGGAAGCUGUAGAAAUCAAUUACUUGAUAGAGACGCGUAAGGUUGCGAUUGAGGCUUUUCAAUGGAUGCUCACUCUUACGAGGAGCGCCGUUGUUCAGCAUUGAUUGAUCCUGUCUUUUCUCUGUUGAGAGGCAAAAUGAAACUCUAGGCAUUCAAAAAUCUUUGCGAAAGGAUCUGAUUUUUGUCAGAAGUUGGCAAAAGAUGGGGUGUCUGAGUUUGAGGGAUGCGAAAGCAUGAUUUUGCUAAAAUGAUUUCUACUGUCCCGUCUUGAAACACGGACCAAGGAGUCUAACAUAUAUGCGAGUGGAGUGGUGUAAAAACCAAGACGCGAAAUGAAAGUAAAAGAGAUGCUAAAUGGAAACAUGGCAGCAUCAAUCGACCAUGAUCUUUAGAGAAAGGUUUGAGUAAGAGCAUAUCUGUUAGGACCCGAAAGAUGGUGAACUAUGCCUGAGUAGGGCGAAGUCAGGGGAAACUCUGAUGGAAGCUCGUAGCGAUACUGACGUGCAAAUCGUUCGUCAAACUUGGGUAUAGGGGCGAAAGACUAAUCGAACCAUCUAGUAGCUGGUUCCCUCCGAAGUUUCCCUCAGGAUAGCUGGAACAAAAAUGCAGUUUUAUCAGGUAAAGCGAAUGAUUAGAGGCCUCAGAGUUUCAACAACUUUGACCUAUUCUCAAACUUUAAAUUGGUAAGAACUUUGAGUUUGCUUAAAUGAACUCAAAGAUAGAAUGCAGUGUUCUUAGUGGGCCAUUUUUGGUAAGCAGAACUGGCGAUGAGGGAUGAACCUAACGUCAGGUUAAGGUGCCCAACUAUACGCUCAUCAGAUACCUAAAAGGUGUUGAUUCAUAUAAACAGCAGGACGGUGGUCAUGGAAGUCGAAAUCCGCUAAGGAGUGUGUAACAACUCACCUGCCGAAUGAAUUAGCCCUGAAAAUGGAUGGCGCUCAAGCGUAUGACCGAUACCUGACCAUCAGCGCAAGGGAGAGGCGUUGAUGUGUAGGAGGGCGUGAAUGUUCUGUUCAGAAGCCUUUGACGUGAGUCUGGGUGGAACAGCAUUUAGUGCAGAUCUUGGUGGUAGUAGCAAUUAUUCAAAUGAGAACUUUGAAGACUGAAGUGGAGAAGGGUUCCAUGAGAACAGCAUUUGGUCAUGGGUUACUCGAUCCUAAGAUAUUGGGAAAUUCCUUGUCAAGUGCGGGAGUCAUCCUGCGGAAUCGAAAGGGAAUGAGGUUAAUAUUCCUCAAGCUGGAUGUGGAUAUUGUAUGGUAACAGAAACGAGCUCAGAGACGUCAGCGUGGGUCCCCGGAAGAGUUAUCUUUUCUUUUUAACAAACUAGUGACCUUGAAAAUGGAUUACCCAGAGAUAAGGUUAUCGGUUUGGAAGAGCAUCUCGCUUUUUGGGAUGUCGGGUGUGCUCACGAUGAUCCCUGAAAAUCUGAGUAAGAGUUUUAUCGCGCACCAGGUCGUACCCAUAACCGCAUCAGGUCUCCAAGGUU